GGGGAGGGAGAGCUGGCAUGGUGUUCUGUUAAUGGCCUAGCGGCUGGGGAAGAGCAGGCUCAACAGAGCGGCCGGAAUCUCCUCCUGCAGUGCGGACUACCUGAAGAGCACAUUCUGAUUAAAAUUCUCUUCCUAUUUGCAGGAGCUGGGGCUUACGGGAUAUCCGAGGGAUUGGAGAGACUGAUAGAGCCUUACUCGGGUUUGCUGUUCUGUUAAUAAAUGUGUGCAGCUCACAAGGGCACACAGCAGACAAAGUCAUUUUGCAGGUGGAGAAGGGCCGCUGGGAGCCCACGACAUGGCACGGGGAGGAAGAAUUUUAAAAACGGUGAGCCUGGGCAUUUAGCUGAAGAAAUUUCCAAAGGUAACCUGGAGAAUGUGGCUUGGCUUCUCCUUGCAGCUUACAAAAUGCUAGAUGAGAGAAAUACUCUUGAGGACUGAACUGUCAGGCACAAAGAAAACGGAAA
rnacentral:lncRNA from 1 species